UGAGGGGUGAUGGCGGAGCCCGAGAGGGCCGGAAGUGGUUGAGCCCGCGCUGCCGAGAAAAGCCUCUAGCGAGGUAUGCGUGACCGUACCGCAAACCGACACAGGUAGAUGGGUAGAGAAUACCAAGGCGAACGGGAGAACCCUUGUUAAGGAACUAGGCAAAUUAAGUCCGUAACUUAGGGAAAAGGACUGCCACUGGUUGUGAGGGCGACUAGCUUGUCUGAGCGAUUGGUGGUCGCAGCGAAAUGGCUCUGCCGACUGUUUAACAAAAACACAGGUUUCUGCGAAAGCGAAAGCUGACGUAUAGGGGCUGACGCCUGCCCAGUGCCGGAAGGUUAAGGGGAGAUGUGAUGAGCAUUGAACCGAAGCCCCGGUGAACGGCGGCCGUAACUAUAACGGUCCUAAGGUAGCGAAAUUCCUUGUCGGGUAAGUUCCGACCCGCACGAAAAGCGUAACGAUUUGGGCACUGUCUCAACAAUAGACUCGGUGAAAUUGUAAUCCCGGUGAAGAUGCCGGGUACCUGCGACAGGACGGAAAGACCCCAUGGAGCUUUACUGUAGCUUGACGUUGGGUCUUGGUACUACAUGUACAGGAUAGGUGGGAGACUAUGAAGCAUGGACGCCAGUCUGUGUGGAGUCAUCCUUGGGAUACUACCCUUGUAGUACUGGGAUCCUAACCAUAGGCCUUGAAUCAGGUCUUGGAACACCGUCAGGUGGGCAGUUUGACUGGGGCGGUCGCCUCCUAAAAAGUAACGGAGGCGCUCAAAGGUUUCCUCAGCACGGUCGGAAAUCGUGCGAAGAGUGUAAAGGCAAAAGGAAGCUUGAUUGCAAGACAUACAGGUCGAGCAAGGACGAAAGUCGGACUUAGUGAUCCGGUGGUACCGCAUGGAAGGGCAUCGCUCAACGGAUAAAAGCUACCCUGGGGAUAACAGGCUUAUCUCCCCCAAGAGUCCACAUCGACGGGGAGGUUUGGCACCUCGAUGUCGGCUCAUCACAUCCUGGGGCUGUAGUAGGUCCCAAGGGUUGGGCUGUUCGCCCAUUAAAGUGGUACGCGAGCUGGGUUCAGAACGUCGUGAGACAGUUCGGUCCCUAUCCGUCGCAGGCGUAGGAAAUUUGAGAAGACCUGUCCUUAGUACGAGAGGACCGGGAUGGACGUACCUCUGGUGUACCAGUUGUUCUGCCAAGGGCAUGGCUGGGUAGCUAUGUACGGAAUGGAUAAGCGCUGAAAGCAUCUAAGCGCGAAGCCAACUUCAAGAUAAGAUUUCCCACCGUAAGGGUAAGACCCCAGGAAGACUACCUGGUUGAUAGGUCGAAGGUGUAAGUGCAGUAAUGUAUUUAGCUUAUCGAUACUAAUAGGUCGAGGACUUGACC
rnacentral:rRNA from 1 species